UGAAGCAAGAAGCCAUGUUGGAAAGUCUUAUGUUUCCAGUGUAAAGCACGGAGCUGAGGAUGUCCCCCCACUGCCCAACAAUCACCGGGAAUUGAGGACAGCCUCUCACAGACAGUCAGCAAGAAUCUGAGACCUUCAGUUCAGAUUCAGAUACAAGCCAGAAGGAACUGAAUUCUGCUAACAACCACAUGACAUUGGAAGCAGAUCUUUAUCCAAUUAAGAAGAGACCACAGUCCUGGUCAACAUUUAGGUUGCAGCUUUCAGAUGAGACCCUAAGCCACAGAACCCAACAAAGCCAUACCCAGACUCCUAUUCCACAGAAGUGGAAUGUGACUCCUCCAGUCACCAUGGGGUCUUUGAGUGACAUGAAGUCCCCGUGUCAUGGACGGCCAGGCAGCUGAAUGAGGCUCGCUCACAUUCUGAUUCUCCAGACUAAUCAACCUCACUCCCGCCGCCUAUUCCAUCCCUCUGCAAUCUCUUACUCACUUGAGUAUCAUAAAUCUACAUUUUUUUGGUCCACAAGGAGAAAAUAAUUCUUAUAACUUUAGUCCCUAGGCUGUUACUUUUCAAAGUGCUCUUUAGGGAACAGAAACAGAAUACAUCAAAUCAUGUCUGCAGCUACUGUCCCUGCUGAAACAUGGGCCAUCUUGUGUGCCAUCAGUAUCCAUGGCCUUAUAUCCUUUUCCACAAAACCAUUACUUACUUUUUUUUUUUUCUGUCUCAUUUCCCUCAGCCUGAGUUUCAUUUUUUUUAAAAAUGGUAUCUCAAGAUCUUUGAGACACCUACAGCAGUUACCCUCUUAUGAAUCUUCCUGUUCAAGCCUUGGCAUGAACAAUUUAAGACCACGGAUCUUCCAAAAAUCAUGUGUGUGUAAUUACAUUUAAUUUUGUUUGGAACCACAUUUAAGUGUAAAUUCCCUAUAAGGAAAGAAGAGCAUGGGACAUGUGCAUUGGAAAAGGAAAGGUGGCCUAGGUGGAGGGAUUUCCAUUGGGCCAUCGGCCAAGCGAGUCCCUGAGAGCUGACAGUGCUGCAGGCUGAUGGGUUAGCACGUGCACAAGGAAGGUUCAACCUAGACAGAAACAGCCUUUUGGGGCUCCCUCCCAGGAGGCCACGGAGGACUGUGAUGACUGACUCCCAGCAGAACCUCGUGCCAUCCCCUACGCAGAAAACACUUCAGAGCCAUGGCAACGAGGAAAUGAUGGUUGAAGCAUCUGCAGGUCUAACGUGGCCAUGGGAGGAGAAUCUCUGUUGUGAUGUUCGUCAUGUUGAGAACUCUUCUGUCUAAGGUGGAAUGUGUGGUCUGGUGGAAGAGGGUGCAGAGUGAGAAGCAGGAACCUGGGAACUCUGCCCCUGUGUGCCCUGCACAAGCCCCUCCCUGCUCUGGAACUCAUUUGCCCCUGCUAUGAAACUGCAAGGGAAGUAGGGGCUUUCUAAGCACAUCUACCCCUUGAUCGUUCUAGGAAUCUCUGACACUUUCAUGUGAAUGAAGUGUGAUGUAUAUUUCUGCCAGUCUCAUAAUUCCUAUAGUUUAACUUUUAAAAAAAUCAAGGAAAAAAAGACUGGAGAAAUUGAUGAUUAAAAUGCAGUCUGGGCAUUUCUUUAUUUCAAUUUUCCUGUUAUCCUCAUGUCCCUAAACCAGGAAUAAUAAUGACUUAGCAGUUAUAUUUUUUUACAAUAAUGUAAGUCUGCCAAAACAUUUUCAAGUUUCUUGCUUCACCUUGCUGAAGGCAACACAAGCUCCUACAGCUGACAGGUCCUCUCAAGCCCAAGCCUUUGUGGUCCUGGAACAAAGUCCCACUCAGGUACAGCUGUGGACAGGCCGGCACCCACUCGAAGACUGCUUUUUAGGUUUUUGUUACUCUCAUUUAGUAAAUAUUUAUUUAGCUGUC